UCUGUAGAGAAUGUAUUGAUAUGACUACUCAUUAGUCACCAUGGAGUGUGCUACCAUAAUGAGCCUCAUAACUACAUCCUCUAAAACUACUUCAAAUUGCUAGACUCUAAACUAGAACUUUAUAUUUUUGUGAUAACUGUUUGUCAUGAAGAAAUAAUGGAAGCUAUCUAUAGGUAAAAACUGUUUUAAUAUUCAAAUAGAAAUGAAAUGGAUUAAUUUCGGCGUUGUUUUCUGUAUUACAUUUGAAUUCACAUUUUUUAAAGUUCAGGUUCAUGUCUGACUUAGAAAAGUAAUUUGAGCGAGAAGAAGGAGGCAAUGACAUUAAUUUUAUGAUACUAAUUUUUCUUAAGUUUAAGGAAGAUUAUGGAAGUAAAAAAUUUAAAUAGAGCUUAAAAACUGACCUAUGACUUCACUGCCUCCCUAGCGGAGCCUGGCUUUUAGAUAGACAGGAAAAUGGAUAUUAGUGCCAAAACUAGGACUUCGUUGGCUGUGACCGGGAUUUCCUCUUCCCACCGUGGGGACUAGAAAGUAGAGGUAGGAAAAUCUCAUUUUGGAGCCAAGUGUGACUUGUUUAGUUCAAGUCAUAAUUUAUUACUCAUUCUUUAGGGACCUGGAAAUAAAGAACCCCACUAUGAAAUGCUGAUAAUGGGCCACUCUGAGGGCCGAGCAUUAAGCUGACUUUCCCGGUGAGAAUCUUUUUUUUCACUUCCACCUUUCCCAGAUGCUUCUGAUCUGUGAGAACUUUCUUAAUCAUGUAAUAGUGUAAAGGAAGACUUUCUGUGCACUAGACUGAAGCACUUGUGGGGCAUGAGAGGGAACCCGGGCUUUACUGUAAGUAGAAGUUGUAGGAAAGCAUACCUUUAAGAAUUAUCUUCUUUUAAUGCAAUUAAGUCACACAGAGCACAGCUGCCUUCUAAACGGUUACCUGAAACAAACCCAUUAGCAAAUUACAAUUACAAAAGCUGCAACAUUAAAAUUCAGCCAUCCACAUCUCAAAUUGGUGAUAUAGACAUAGAUACCAGGUUAUGACAAAACUAUUCACAUUAUUAAGACAGGUUAGAAUAAUGAAACAAUCUCUCUCUUUUUUUUUAACCUAGCUAGAAGCACAAACUACUAUAAUAGGUUCUGGGAACACAGUGACACAAUGUCUAUAGCCCCUUGUCUGAGGCAGAUUACAGUGUAAGCAAGGUAUCCUGACGUGAAAGUAAGAAACAGUCGGCGCUGCGAUGAGGGCUGUAAGAGAGAGUGCAGGAACCAUGAGAACGUUACAGCGGGUCUUUAUGGGUCAGGAACGGCUUCCUGAGGAAGUGUUAUUUAAUCUGACACAGGAAAGAAGGUGAGAAUGGUGUAGGUGAACAGAUCGAACAGCGGUCUUCUCAGCACAGCAGCGUACGCUAAGGCCCUCAUAGGUGAAAGAGGAGAGGAGACAGUUUCCAGGAAUUGCAAGAGCACAGACUUGGGGAACUGGGACAAUGGCCUGUGAACUCAGGCUGGGAGAAGCACUUAGAAACCAAAUCACCUAAGGCUCCGUAUGCCAAUUUCAGGACUUGGGAUUUUAUUCUGUAUUAUGGGAAACCUGAUCCAGGAACAGAGCCUAAGGUCAGAGUAGAGUGGAGUUCCGGUUAUAGUGUAACAUCUGACAUAGAAACCCACCUGGAUCUAGCCUCAGUAACAACAUAUGCUUCCCCGUGGGGGGCGGCCAUGUAUGUAAACUUGAAGCACUGGAACACCAAACUCAGUAACACGUAGGAGGCUGACAGUUUAUAGUUGGAGUGGCUGGAAAUCCUCAGGCUGACUGAGUUGGUCUCAAUUACUUACACCUUACUUUUGCUCAGUUUUUCUAGCC
rnacentral:lncRNA from 1 species